rnacentral:lncRNA from 10 species
GCUUAGCAGGGUUGCCCUCCUGAUGGGGAAACCUGCAUGUUACAUGCCAGAAGCCUGGCCCAAUGACCACUAGGGUGCUCAGAGGCCACAGGGUCCCAACAAAGUGUGGUGAGAAAAAAGCCGGCAGGAGAGAGCCAGGAUACGAGAGAGUGAAGGAAGGAGCUCAGUGAGGAAGCAGAGAGAAGCCUGGGCAGAGAAAAGAAAGGAAGACAGUGGCUGGGAGGGAAUCACAGAUGGGAAACCGAACAUACAGAGGGAAUGAGGCAGAAAGGAGAUGAGGAUCUCUCUCUCUCUCUCUCGUGUGUGUGUGUGUGUGUGUGUGUGUGUUUGGUGGAAGAUAUCUAUAGAAAUUCUUGUUGAGUAUCUGCUCCAUUGCUCCUAAAUAUCUCAUCAGGACUUUCCUGAGCCGCCAUUAUUAUUUAGUUCCCAUUUUCCAGAGGAGUAAAUGGAGGCUCAGAGAGGCAAAAAAAAAAUUUAUCUUUGGUUCUCCAGCAUAUAGUCCAGUAUCAGGGCAUAAAGUAGACUCUAUUCAGCAAAGUAUUGCAUGAAAAAGGAAUACAUUAAUAGAUUUAGCAUGUAUUAUUACAAAUUCUCUCCUUUUAACAUUAUAUUUUCCUGUAUUUCUCUCAACAGGAAACACACUCAAAGGAAAGACCAGCAUACUCAAGUGAACAAAUGUGAUGUAUUUGUUUCCAUAUGUUCUGCAUUUUGCUGGCAGAGAUUCCAGUGCUGGGUGGAAGGUCCUCUUCCUGGUCUCAUUUGCAUCAUCAGCAAUGGAGGUAUAAAGAUGGAACUCCUGUCUUUAGAAGGCUAGAGCCAGAUGAGGAACCAUACAUCAAACAAGGGCAAACAAAGAAGCACACAUUGAAUUACAUGCUAUGAAGGAAAGAAGCGAGAUGCCACAAGGAGAUCCACU